rnacentral:ncRNA from 1 species
CCGGAAUUACUUUAAAAUCGCCGAAAGGCGAUGACGCAAAGCCACGGGUCUAAAGCCGAAAGGCCAUGACCACCGAGCUGUCGAA